ACGGAAGGCAGCAGUGGGGAAUAUUGCGCAAUGGGCGGAAGCCUGACGCAGCGACGCCGCGUGAGGGAUGACGGCCUUCGGGUUGUAAACCUCUUUCAGCAGGGACGAAGCUAACGUGACGGUACCUGCAGAAGAAGCGCCGGCUAACUACGUGCCAGCAGCCGCGGUAAUACGUAGGGCGCAAGCGUUGUCCGGAAUUAUUGGGCGUAAAGAGCUCGUAGGCGGUCUGUUGCGUCCGUCGUGAAAGCCCACAGCUUAACUGUGGGUCUGCGGUGGAUACGGGCAGACUAGAGGCAGGUAGGGGAGAAUGGAAUUCCCGGUGUAGCGGUGAAAUGCGCAGAUAUCGGGAGGAACACCGGUGGCGAAGGCGGUUCUCUGGGCCUGUACUGACGCUGAGGAGCGAAAGCGUGGGGAGCGAACAGGAUUAGAUACCCUGGUA
rnacentral:rRNA from 1 species